AGAGUUUGAUCCUGGCUCAGGAUGAACGCUAGCGACAGGCUUAACACAUGCAAGUCGAGGGGCAGCGGGAAAGAGAUUUCGGUCUUUUUUGCCGGCGACCGGCGCACGGGUGAGUAACACGUAUGCAACCUGCCCAUAGCAGGGGGAUAACCCGGAGAAAUCCGGACUAAUACCGCGUAACAAGUGAUGGAGGCAUCUCUAUUGUUUUAAAGACAGGCAACUGUCGGCUAUGGAUGGGCAUGCGGUGCAUUAGCUAGUCGGCGGGGUAACGGCCCACCGAACCGACGAUGCGUAGGGGUUCUGAGAGGAAGGUCCCCCACACUGGUACUGAGACACGGACCAGACUCCUACGGGAGGCAGCAGUGAGGAAUAUUGGUCAAUGGACGCGAGUCUGAACCAGCCAAGCCGCGUGAAGGAUUAAGGCCCUACGGGUCGUAAACUUCUUUUGUCAGGGAACAAAAGUGGGGACGAGUCCCCAUCUGCGUGUACCUGAAGAAAAAGCAUUGGCUAACUCCGUGCCAGCAGCCGCGGUAAUACGGAGGAUGCGAGCGUUAUCCGGAUUUAUUGGGUUUAAAGGGUGCGCAGGCGGUCUGUUAAGUCAGCGGUAAAAGCCCGGGGCUCAACCCCGGCGAGCCGUUGAAACUGGCGGACUAGAGAGGAAGAGAAGUAGGCGGAAUGCGUGGUGUAGCGGUGAAAUGCUUAGAUAUCACGAAGAACUCCGAUUGCGAAGGCAGCGUACCGUGGCGUUACUGACGUUCAUGCUCGAAAGCGCGGGUAUCGAACAGGAUUAGAUACCCUGGUAGUCCGCGCGGUAAACGAUGGAUGCCCGCUGUUCGGCCAUUAUGGUUGAACCGCCAAGCGAAAGCGUUAAGCAUCCCACCUGGGGGAGUACGCCGGCAACGGUGAAACUCAAAGGAAUUGACGGGGGCCCGCACAAGCGGAGGAACAUGUGGUUUAAUUCGAUGAUACGCGAGGAACCUUACCCGGGCUUGAACUGCAGGAGAACGAUUCAGAGAUGAUGAGGUCCUUCGGGACUCCUGCGGAGGUGCUGCAUGGUUGUCGUCAGCUCGUGCCGUGAGGUGUCGGCUUAAGUGCCAUAACGAGCGCAACCCCUGCCGACAGUUGCUAACGGAUAAUGCCGAGGACUCUGUCGGGACUGCCGGCGCAAGCCGUGAGGAAGGCGGGGAUGACGUCAAAUCAGCACGGCCCUUACGUCCGGGGCGACACACGUGUUACAAUGGCCGGUACAGCGGGAAGCCAGGCGGCGACGCCGAGCGGAACCCGAAAACCGGUCUCAGUUCGGAUCGGAGUCUGCAACCCGACUCCGUGAAGCUGGAUUCGCUAGUAAUCGCGCAUCAGCCAUGGCGCGGUGAAUACGUUCCCGGGCCUUGCACACACCGCCCGUCA
rnacentral:rRNA from 1 species